rnacentral:rRNA from 1 species
CAGCAGUAGGGAAUCUUCCACAAUGAGCGAAAGCUUGAUGGAGCGACACAGCGUGCAGGAUGAAGGUUUUCGAAUUGUAAACUGCUGUUAUAGGGGAAGAAAAACUUGGAUAGGAAGUGAUCCAAACUUGACGGUACCUUAUUAGAAAGUGACGGCUAACUAUGUGCCAGCAGCCGCGGUAAUACAUAGGUCACAAGCGUUAUCCGGAAUUAUUGGGCGUAAAGCGUUCGUAGGCGGUUUGUUAAGUCUGGAGUUAAAGACUGGGGCUCAACCCCAGCCCGCUCUGGAUACUGGCUGACUAGAGUUACAUAGAGGUAAGUGGAAUUCUUAGUGGAGCGGUGGAAUGCGUAGAUAUUAGGAAGAACACCAAUGGCGAAGGCAGCUUACUGGAUGUACACUGACGCUCAGGGACGAAAGCGUGGGGAGCAAACAGGAUUAGAUACCCUGGUAGUCCACGCCGUAAACGAUGAUCAUUAGCCGCUAGAAUAUUUAGUGGCGCAGCUAACGCAUUAAAUGAUCCGCCUGAGUAGUAUGCUCGCAAGAGUGAAGCUUAAAGGAAUUGACGGGGACCCGCACAAGCGGUGGAGCAUGUGGUUUAAUUUGAAGAUACGCGUAGAACCUUACCCACUCUUGACAUCUUCCGCAAUACUAUGGAGACAUAGUGGAGGUUAACGGAAUGACAGAUGGUGCAUGGUUGUCGUCAGCUCGUGCCGUGAGGUGUUAGGUUAAGUCCUGCAACGAGCGCAACCCCUGUCUUUAGUUACUAACGGAUAAUGCCGAGGACUCUAGAGAGACUGACUGGGUAACCAGUAGGAAGGUGGGGACGACGUCAAAUCAUCAUGCCUCUUACGAGUGGGGCAACACACGUGCUACAAUGGACGGUACAAAGAGAAGCAAUAUGGUGACAUGGAGCAAACCUCAAAAACCGUUCUCAGUUCGGAUUGAAGUCUGAAACUCGACUUCAUGAAGUUGGAAUCGCUAGUAAUCGUAGAUCAGCUACGCUACGGUGAAUACGUUCUCGGGUCUUGUACACACC